rfam:Ictidomys tridecemlineatus contig066039, whole genome shotgun sequence.
GGGGUUGUAGCUCAGUGAUAGAGCGCUUACCUUGCAAGUGUGAGGUUCUGGGUUCGAUCCUCAGCAACACAU